UACUUGAGUUGACUUGAGCUCAUGGGAUGAAGCGGACUCUAUGAUUAUGUCAUAAUUUUUGGAAUGGGAUGAAGCGGACUCUAUGAUUAUGUCAUGGUUAUGGAAUUCUACGACUCCAGAAAUUAACUAUACUUUCAUGUUCCUAUCUACUGCAAAUGAAAUAUGGGAUGCCACUAGGCAAACAUUCUCAAAAGCUCGGGUUGCUGCUCAAAUCUUCGAAAUUAAGAUAUCAUCAUAAAUUGGGACACUGGCCGAUACAAUGAAUGUUGGAGCAGAUACUUUUGUCAUCUUAUUAUCAUCAAAUCAUCCUUGUUAUGUUGAUGCAGACUGAAAGAACAGGUUUGGUAGUACCAGUUAUCAUAUCUCUUUAAAUAGGUUGCUUUACUUGUAAAGUAACUUGGAAGUUCCUGAAAUUCUUACUGGUGCAACGUCUUUUCAUUAAAUAAUCCUUUUCCAACCUGUUCAAAUUUCAUACAGUCGCACAACUUGUAAACGAGCAAAAGUUAUUGGCUCCACACCUAGUAAGACACCGAGGCUACAGAUCACGCUAUAGCCAUUGUACAGCUUACUCCUGCCAACUAGAAUUUCUGUCACUCUUUGACUAGCUUAUAGCUGUUCAGCUUUGGAAAAUUAUCAUGUUAUUGUUCCAGCCCCUAUUGCAAAGUUGAACUGUACCAAUGAAGAGCUUAUUUGCUUGGGCUUA